GCGAGGCAGCCUCUCCUGCCGCGCCGUGUGCGAGCGCACACGUCAUGGGCGCAGCAAGCACAAACCCAACCCCCAAUCCAUAGCCGCCACACCCUCCCUCCUCCUAUUUCCUCCCUCGUCUGCCGCCGCCACGCCCUCCCUCCUCGUCGCCCUGUCUCUGCCCAGCUUUGCCGCCUCCCACGCGCUCGUCCUCUCACCUCCCAUGGAGGGGAGGGGUGAGGAUGUUGGGAAAGGAGGAAGCCGGAGAUGAGGAGGUCGAUGCAGGGGACGCCAUGGAUGGUCGGGGCGCUGGCUCCUCCUUUCCCCAUGCCACGGCUGCCCAGAUCCGGCGAUCCCCUCCCACUCCGGCAUCCAGGUUGGAGGCAUUGGCGUGAAGGUGUCGUGAGUUAUUUGCAAGGGCAUUGUUCUGACGUGCUCCUCCAUGUCUCCUGCGAGUUCUUGGUGUGGCGAUCAUGGCUCCAGAUAGCAUAAAAUCGACAUCAUGGGUGUCGGUGCAGAAUGACGGAGGAGCGGGAGAAGCAGGAGCUGCUCGGACGCGCUAGCGCCAGUGAGAUCUUCCAGCAUGCGCCGACGGACAAGCCGGCAUUCACGCUGGCCCAGAUCAAGGAGGCAAUCCCGCCUCACUACUUUCAGUGCUCGUUGAUCAAGUCCUUCUCCUAUGUGGUCUAUGACCUCGUCACCAGCGCGUCCCUCCUGUACGCCGGGUUGGUCUGGAUCCCAGCACUCUCGAGCAUGCAAUAGUUGGGCGCCUGUCCGCUCUACUGGGUGCCUCAUUUUGAUUUUCUUACCUUGGUGGGUUUGUAUUCAGAAAAUUAAUUUGCCUAUUUUUGCUUUUUAAUCUGUGUUGGGAGAAAGAUGUUCCUCAUUGUUGAGAAAAUGUUUAUUGUAUGGACCAUACAAGGUUCUUUCUCCAAAUGUUAUUGUGUGGUGCAACUAUGAUCUAUUUUCCUUGUGCAGAGGUCUGUGACGAGGCAGACAGGUGGCGGGCGGCAACAAUAGGGGUUGGCGGAUGCUCCGAGACCAAUAGCCUACUUAGUGAUGGGAAGGAGGAUCUGACAAGUUAACCCCCCACAAUUGUGUUGUUGGAGAACUUCUGCGAGCUCAGUAAAAUAAUGAAUCUUCAUCUCCGAUGUUUUCUCUCGAAAAUGGAGCGCGGAUCGCAGGAGCAAGGAGCUGGUCGAGUGUAGUGAACAAACAAUCAACGCGGCACAUUUGGAAGUUGUGAGAGCUGUGAAUGGCACCGGUCUUGUCAUACUAAUGAGCAGGAGCACCGGCCACAUUACUCUUCAUGCCACUCUAAGCAGUCGGCUGCUACUUGAGAUUGAUUUCCAUGUUUAAGGAAAGGGAGACCGGAUUGAGUUCCUGUAUAUGCAAGAAGAAGGGGCAUUGUCGUGGUUGUUGCUGAAGGUGUUGGUCAGGAGCUGAUUACCGGGACUGAUGACAAGAACGAAGAGCAAGAUGAGUAUGUCAACAUGUUGUUCCUUAACGUUGGCCUUCUUCUAUAAAGUUCACAUGCAACUCUCCUUCAUGGUUAGAAAAAACUAAUUUAAACGUUUUCUUUCUUUGAUGGUUACUCAUUUCUCUUACCAUUGUUGUAUCAAAACAAUUUUAUUUUCGCUGAUGGCCGCUUGGGCUCAUUUUCGAAGAGAAUGAGAUGUGGAAUAAACUACUCUAAAAUGGUUGGUUCCCUUCAAA